rnacentral:rRNA from 1 species
UGCGUAGGUGUCUGACAAAGUUUUUGUUUAAAGGCCAAGGCUUACCCUUGGAUUUGGCAGAAAUACUCGUCAGAUUGAGGAUUGAUCGGGGUGAUAGAACAGAUAAUGUAGCAGUGAAAUGCGUUGAUAUUAUCUGGAAUACCAAAAGCGAAGGCAGUCACCUGGGUUUUUCCUGACACUGAGGCACGAAAGCUAGGGGAGCGAAACAGAUUAGAUACCUGUGUAGUCCUAGCCGUAAACGAUGCUCGCUAGCUCUUGGUCGCAAGAUCAGGGGUGUAAGCUAACGCGUUAAGCGAGCCGCCUGGGGAGUACGGUCGCAAGACUAAA